rnacentral:rRNA from 1 species
GAUGAACGCUAGCUACAGGCUUAACACAUGCAAGUCGAGGGGCAGCAUGGGCUUAGCUUGCUAAGCCCGAUGGCGACCGGCGCACGGGUGAGUAACACGUAUCCAACCUUCCGGUAACUCCGGUAUAGCCUUUCGAAAGAAAGAUUAAUCCCGGAUAGCAUAAUGAUUCCGCAUGGUUUCAUUAUUAAAGGAUUCCGGUAAAGGAUGGGGAUGCGUUCCAUUAGGUUGUUGGUGAGGUAACGGCCCACCAAGCCUUCGAUGGAUAGGGGUUCUGAGAGGAAGGUCCCCCACAUUGGAACUGAGACACGGUCCAA